rnacentral:rRNA from 1 species
GCAAGCCUGAUGCAGCCAUGCCGCGUGUGUGAAGAAGGCCCUAGGGUUGUAAAGCACUUUCAGCGAGGAGGAAAGGUUAUAGUUUAAUAGACUAUAGCUGUGACGUUACUCGCAGAAGAAGCACCGGCUAACUUCGUGCCAGCAGCCGCGGUAAUACGAGGGGUGCAAGCGUUAAUCGGAAUUACUGGGCGUAAAGCGUACGCAGGCGGUUUGUUAAGCGAGAUGUGAAAGCCCCGGGCUCAACCUGGGAACUGCAUUUCGAACUGGCAGACUAGAGUAUGAUAGAGGGUGGUAGAAUUUCAGGUGUAGCGGUGAAAUGCGUAGAGAUCUGAAGGAAUACCGAUGGCGAAGGCAGCCACCUGGGUCAAUACUGACGCUCAUGUACGAAAGCGUGGGGAGCAAACGGGAUUAGAUACCCCGGUAGUCCACGCCGUAAACGAUGUCUACUAGGAGCUGGAAUCUUCGGAUGACUUUUCCAAAGCUAACGCAUUAAGUAGACCGCCUGGGGAGUACGGCCGCAAGGUUAAAACUCAAAUGAAUUGACGGGGCCCGCACAAGCGGUGGAGCAUGUGGUU